rnacentral:rRNA from 1 species
GAUGAACGCUGGCGGCGUGCCUAAUACAUGCAAGUCGAGCGAACAGACGAGGAGCUUGCUCCUCUGACGUUAGCGGCGGACGGGUGAGUAACACGUGGAUAACCUACCUAUAAGACUGGGAUAACUUCGGGAAACCGGAGCUAAUACCGGAUAAUAUAUUGAACCGCAUGGUUCAAUAGUGAAAGACGGUUUUGCUGUCACUUAUAGAUGUAUCCGCGCCGCAUUAGCUAGUUGGUAAGGUAACGGCUUACCAAGGCGACGAUGCGUAGCCGACCUGAGAGGGUGAACGGCCACACUGGAACUGAGACACGGUACAGACUCCUACGGGAGGCAGCAGUAGGGAAUCUUCCGAAAUGGGCGAAAGACUGACGGAGCAACGCAGCGUGAGUGAUGAAGGUCUUCGGAUCGUAAAACUCUGUUAGUAGGGAAGAACAAAUGUGUAAGUAACUAUGCACGUCUUGACGGUACCUAAUCAGAAAGCCACGGCUAACUACGUG